AAAGUACGGAGUGGUGCGGCAAACGGGGGUGGGUUGUUUGGUGGAGGGAUGUAGGGAAGGAGAGGGUGCGUUUGAAACGGUGUGGGUGUGGCAGGGAUGGGGAAGAGGGGGAGGAGGAGGAAGAGAGGAAGAGGCGUGAGAGAUGGCGUUUAAGAGGUGAGGAAGAUGCUUGGAGAACGACGACAAGCAGGAAGAUAUUACGAUUUUGGAUUUUGUGUAAGCAAAUAAGAGCUUCACCCCGAGAGAAAGAGACAGACAUAAAAACUGCACUUAAGAACUGAGGCCAUAAAGUGUAGUUAUGCCGGUUGCACUCUAUGGGGAUGAAGGUAGAGAGGGAUGGAGAAGAAGAUACCAUAAAUCUUCAAGGAUAAUAUCCUGAACGCCUUACUUCCCUGGGCAUGGACACAUUGAAACUCCGACGUCUGGCAGCUGACUUGGCAGACACCCAUAAAAUUAUCAACCAUCUUACAAACAAUAACUCUGAGCACCCUUUCAAACUCCACCCGUCUAACACCUGUGGACAUAUUUACAAAGUCAGAAAACAGCACAGCUCCUUCCAUGACUUUCGUAAACAUUUUUCUCACGCUAAGAGUUGCUGAAGCAUGGAACAAACUGCUGGCAUCAGUUGUUAGUUGUCGGAGCACUGCAUCCUUCAAAACUUCCAUGCUUCCUGAUAUUCGCCAACACUACACCUGAUCUUCUCCUCCCCUCCAUACACACGCAAGCAUGUUCUGACUCAUGCAUUGUUCGCUUUCCAGACAUUUCUACAUUACUGCAGAUGCUUUAUACGCACUUUCUGACAAGUUGUGGUGCACCUGAGCACUGUAUACAACAAUUUCAUUAUAUUAUAUUAUAAUCCGCAUUUUUAACAGUUCUAUAUUGAAGAGAUGAGGAAUUAUGUACAUUAUUUACAUUUGAUGGAUAUUUGUCUUCAUCUUGUUUGUUGUUAACACAACGUUUCGGCUGAUAUAGCCUCCGGCCGUCAGCUGUAGGAACAUUGCCAGAUCAGAUUGGAGCCUGGUGUGUAGCUACUGGCUUUCCAGACGUCAGUCAAACUGUCCAACCCAUGCCAGGAUGGAAAACGAAUGUUAAACGACGAUGAUUAUGAUGCUAUAUAUAUAUAUAUAUAUAUAUAUAUAUACUAAUAAAAGUGUUCAGCAAUGAUUUGCUUCACCACACACCGAAGUUUAGAAAUAGCAGCCAAAAAUCUUAGCUAUUUCUUCUACUUUAAAAAGGGUCUCCCGGAGAAACCAAAAUACUUGAAGAUAAUUCACACAAGCAGAGAGUAAAGCAACGAAAAUCAAUCAAUUAUUGAAUUAUCUUCAAGUAUUUUGGUUUCUCCGGGAGACCCUUUUUAAAGUAGAAGAAAUAGCUAAGAUUUUUGGCUGCUAUUUCUAAACUUCGGUGUGUGGUGAAGCAAAUCUUUGCUGAAGCCUUUUUAUUAGUAUUACUUAAACUUACCGUGAAAUGGUCCUUUUUUCAUACCGAAUUCUACUUGGCGAAAUUAUUAAUUACUUCUUAAUUAAUUAAUUUUACCCUUUGUUAUAUAUAUAACACUUUUGCUGAACACUUUUAUUAGUAUAUAUAUAUAUAUAUAUAUAUAUAGCAUCAUAAUCAUCGUCGUUUAACAUUCGUUUUCCAUCCUGGCAUGGGUUGGACAGUUUGACUGACGUCUGGAAAUAUAACAAUAUCUGUUUCAACACACGACUUCACAUAAAAAAUCUUGCACAACAAAUAUUUAAACGUAUAUAUAUAUAUAUAUAUAUACACAUACAUACAUAUAUAUAUAUAUAUAUAUAUAUAUGCAUGUGUGUGUGUUUCUCUGUGUGUACGUAUAAAAGACAAGUGGGCUUAAGAUUUACUACAGCUGUUUCAGUAGCAUUAUAUAUAUAAAUAUAUUUACACACACGCACAUACCAACAGUAUACUACUAACAAAUGCCAUCUGCUUGUUGGUCUACCCUAAACUGUGAAUCAAUUCUAUGGAACCCAGCCAGUCCUGGUGCCCCACUUGUUGAUAAAAGCCUAGAUUCAAAUGAAUCCUGCGACUACUACUCUACCCACACGCAUACGAAAUGUGUUUGUUUUUGCAGCCGUUUCCUUCAAGAAAUCUUCAUGCUGGAGAAGAUUUCCUUUCUCUUUUUCAACCAUUUUUAUUCUCUUUUCUUUCCUUUUCGGUUUUUUUUUUUUUACAUUUCCAGAAAAAUAAACAAACAAAAGAACCAUUUUUUUUUCCCCAUUUCGGUUAAUCCCAGCAUGAAUAAUUUCCUUUUUGUUCUAAUUCAACCAGUUCUCCACUCCACCCUCCUGCCCCCCACCCUCCUGCUGCCCCCCACCCCCACCUUUCUUCUCACCUGCCAGUUCCUUGUCGUUUCACACCUUCACUUAUUUUCUGCCAAUUUUCUGCCAAUUUUUCCAAUUCUCUUUGAAUGUUUGCUCACCGUCCUCCAUGUUUGUUCAUAUAAUUUUGCUAUAAUAAUCAUUGCGUUUGUUGUUGUUAUUGUUCUUGUCAUCGUAAUUGCUCUUUGUGUUGUCAGAGUAUGGCUGAAUGGUCAAGAAGUGUGAUUCACAAAUGCAAGGUCCUGGGUUCAAAUCCAUCAGGUGGCAUCUUUGCUAGAUGUCAUUUUUUAUAGCUUUGGGCCAAACCAGAUUUUUUUUUAUAUCCUUACCUUGUUUCAGUCAUUGGACUGGGGCUACUCGACCUGACAGAAAUUCUAACUGGGCCCCACCUGCAAGGUCAUGCACUGUUUAUCUUGAUAUGAGAUCACCAUGUGGAGCACAUAUGGUUGUGAAGCAUGUGCCUGGUGUGCCCUUAUCAGACGGGUAGUCAUGAUGGGUAUACUGGGCUUCGUAUAUUUUACCCCAGUGUCACUUUCAUGGCAUGGACUGCUCUAUCACUUGAUAAUAAUAAUAAUAAUAAUAAUAAUUAUUAUUAUUAUUAGGGUUGACUAUGGCAGCGUACUGGCAGAAGCGUUAAGAUGCCGGGCAAAAUACUUAGCGGUCUGAGUUCAAAUUCUUCCAAGGUCGACUUUGACUUUCAUCCUUUCGGGGUCUAUAAAUUAAGUACCAGUUGCGUACUGGGGUUGAUCUAAUCGACUGCCCCCACCUCCCCAAAAUUUUCGGGCCUUGUGCCUGGAGUCGAAAAGAAUGAUAAUGGUUGACUUUGUCACUCAUCUUAUUGAGUCAGUAAAAUUAGUUGAGUAUUGGGGCCUCAAUGUUAUUUAACCCCUCCCCUGAUACUGCUGGCCUUGUGACAAAAUUUGAAAACAUUAUUAUUAUUAUUAUUAUUAUUAUUAUUAUUAUUAUUAUUAUCAUUAUUAUUAUUAUUAUCAUUAUCAUUAUUAUUAUUAUUAUUAUUAUUAUUAUUAUUGUUAUUGUGGUUAUUAUUACUGUCAUUAUUAUUAUUAUUAUUAUUAUUUUUCUUAUUAUCAUUAUUGUUGUUGUUACUAUUGUUGUUAUUAAUGUUAUUAUUGUUAUUAUUAUUAUUGUUUUCUUCUUAUUGUUAUUAUUGUUGUUGUUGUUAUUGUUAUUGUUAUCAUUGUUGUUGUGUGUUUUAUUUUAUGUCUUUUGUUUUAUGAUUCAUUUUUGUGAUUACAUUAUUUUUUUCUUUUUCUGCCACAACUCCCUCCCCCACCCUCCUACCCCCACCCCCACCUUCACACUUUCUAUGGUUUCUUCGUUUUCACCAUUUCAGCUUCCCCCCACCCCCACCCCCCACCACUGAAACAAGAGAAUCCAAUCAUUAUUUACCAAUUUUUCACACACACUCCCUCCCCCUAUCUCUCUCUCUCCCUCUCCCUCUCUCUCUUUCUCUCUUUCCUCAAUUAAUGGAUUUCUUUUGGUUUCCAUUUUUGUCUCUUUUCUUUUCUCACUGUUUCUUUUAUUAUGAAAAUAUCAAUAAAUAGAAGACAAUGGUGAUGAUGAUGAUGAUGAUGAUGAUGAUGAUGGUGGUGAUGAUGAUGAUGAUAAUAAUGGAGGUGGUGGUGGAUGAAGAUGAUGAUGAUGAUGAUGAUUGUGAUGAUGAUGAUAAUGGUGGUGAUGAUUGUGAUGAUGGUGGUGAUGCUGGUGGUGGUGGUGAUGAUGAUAAUGAUGAUAAUAAUGAUUGUGGUGGUGAUGAUGAUGAUGAAGAUGAUGAUGAUGAUUGUGAUGAUGAUAGUUGUGGUGGUGAUGAUGAUUGUGAUGAUGAUGAAGACGAUGAUGAUCAUGGUGGUUAUGAUGAUGAUAGUGAUAAUAGUGAUGAUGAUGAUGAUGAUGAUGGAGCCGAUGAGGAUAGUGGUGGUGAGGGUGAGGGUGAUGGUGGUGGGGAUGGUGGUGAUGGAUGAUGAGGGAAGCGGGAACUGAUGAUGAUGAUGGUGGCAGUGAGGAUGGCGAUGAUGACAACAACGAUGAUGAUGAUGAUGUUGAUGCUGAUGAUGAAGAUGAUGAUGAUAAUGGUGAUGAUGGUUAUGAUGAUGAUGGUGAUUAUGGUGGUGCUAAUGAUGAUGAUUGUGACGAUGAUGCUGAUGAUGAUGAUGAUGUUGGUUCGUUUCUUAUUAGAGAUGUGGUGUUAGGUUUAAAGUGUAGGAUUUAUAGGAAGUCAUAAAUAAGUCUAAUCAUGAUUAAACAUAAUUAUGAUAACAACAACAACAAUAAUAAUAAUAAUAAUAGCAAUUGCUUCUAAUUUUGGAAGAAGGCCAGAAAAUUUGAUGGUGGGGAGGUGGGGAGGUGGGGAGGUGGGGAGUCGAUUAAACCAACUCUGUCGGUCAAGUCUUGGAUGCUUUCAUGCUUUUGUCUUUGGCGGCGCCGAUUCCUUCAGGAGUCUGUGGAAAAGGUAGACCCAGGAAGACGCGGGACGAGAUGGUGAAACGUGGUCUUCAGAUGUUGGCUCUCAUGGAGGUGACGAUGGGUGAUCGAAUCCUUCGGCGGUUUGCUGUGCUUGGGAAAAUGUGUUGGGCCAAGUGAAGUCGUAGUUGCGGACAGUGAAAGGCACCUGUGACAAGUGACGCAUAAAAGGCACCUGUGACGGUGACGCAUAAAAGGCACCUGUGACGGUGACGUGUAAAGGGCACCUGCUACACUCUUGGAGUGGUUGGCAUCAGGAAGGAGGACAUAUCCAGCCGCAGAAACCAAGCCAAAACAGACUGGAACCAGGGGCGGCUCUUUGGUUUACCACUGCCAGUCAAUUUGUCUGAUCCAUGCCAGAAUGGGAAAUGGGUGCGAAAUGAUGAGGAUGAUGAUGAUGAUGAUGAUGAUGAUGAAGUAUUAUAAGACUUUUAGGAGAAAAUGGACAAAUAUGCAGUCAUGCAAAAAAUAAGGAUGGAGCAAGGAUGUUUACAAUACACACACACAUACACAAAGCACACACAGACAGACACAUGCACACAGACACACAUAAAGCACACACACACAUACACAUACAGACACACACACAGCACACACACACAUACACAAAUACACAUACACACAAAGUACACACACACAUACACACACACAAAGCACACACACACAUGCACAUACAAAGCAGACACACACAGACAGACACAUACACAAGCACAUACACAAAUACACACACACACACACACACAAACACAUGGGCACAAGUGUGAUUAUGUAGACACAGGCAUAUCUGUGUGGGUAAGAAGUCUGCUUCCCAACCACAUGGUUCUGGGUUCAGUCCCACUGCAUGGCAUCUUGGGCGAGCGUCUUCUACUAUAGCCACGUGCUGACCAAAGCCUUGUGAGUGGAUUUGGUAGACGGAAACUGUAUAUAUAAGUCUUCUGACUGUGGACAGCUGACACUUUCCACCAUAUCCAACAAUAUAAGCUGUGAGUUUUCAUCAAAUAAUAAUAAUAAUAAUAAUAAUAAUAAUAAUAAUAAUAAUAAUAACAAUAACAAUAAUAAUAAUAAUAAUAACAAUAACAAUAAUAAUAAUAAUCAUAAUAAUAACAAUAACAAUAAUAAUAAUAAUAAUAUUAAUGAAAAUGAUGAAGAUGGUGAUUAAUACCAUUUUUCAAUGCAACAUGGCUGCAUAGCUCAGUGGUUAGAGGUGUUGAACUCACAAUCAUAAUGCCAUGAGUUCAAUCCCUGGACCAAGCAGUGCAUUGUUCCCUUGACCCAGGCACAUCAUUUCAUACUUACGAUACCAGUCUGCUCAUCAAAAAGUGAAUACCAGCUGACUACUGGUGUGCCCCCCCACCACCACCACCACCCACCAAAUACCCUCUCCACCAGCACAUCAAAUCCUGGAUGUUCUGCCGGAUCAAGGAUGAGGGAGCCGAGGUGACUAUGUCUAUCAUGGACUACAAAGUCCCCUAAAACAAUCAGUGUAAUCAUUGCACAUGUUAUCAAAUUGCAUUCGUUUGCAAGUGACAGCCAUGGCUGGCCGUUUUCCUCCGCCCCUCCCCGCCCCCGAUUUCCCUGUAUUCUUGGUUGAUUAUCAGAUGAACACCAAGAGUAAGGAACAGGAGAGGAUUAACGCAGAUUAAUCAAGCUGAAAAAACACGUUCGUUAGUUCUUUGUUGCUUAGAUUAUUUUAGCCAUCGCAGCUAUGAAUAAUAAAUAUAUGUACAUGUGUGUUGUUGAAUUUUAAUUAUCACUCAAGCAAAAUUAACGAACAGAGAUUUUUUAACCUCAGUAAUUACUUCAUUUUCAUGUAUAAUUUUAAAACUGCUACAUAUAUAUAUGCUAGCAUGGAAAGCGGACGCUAAAUGAUGAUGAUAUAUAUAUAUAUAUAUAUAUAUAUAUCACCGUCAUUUAACAUCCGUUUAUAUAGCAUAUAUUUCUAUAUUGGUAUAUAAAUUUAAUAAUAAUAGCUAUAUUUAUAUAUAUAUGUGUGUGUGUGUGUGUGUGGUGUGUGUGUGUAUGUAUGUAUGUAUGUAUGUGUGUAUCUAUGCAUGUAUACAUGUGCACAUACACACACAAAUCUAUAUUAUAAAAAUUUAUCUGGCAAUAUUAUAGAAAUAUAUAUACACAUAUGAUAUUGCUACAUAUAUAUAUAUAUAUAUCAACAUCAUUUAACAUCUGUUUGUAUACAUAUACUGCUAUAUUGCUAUAUAAAUAUAUAUUAUAUAUCAUAUAUAUAUAUGCAUAUAUAUAUAUGUAUGUAAUUAUAUAAUAUAACCACAUAUAUAUUUAUAUGAUACAGCUUGUAUAUUUUAUUUCCAUCUAAUGGAAAAUGGUAAAAAAAACCUGGUGUUUCUCCACAGAUAUCUAUUCACACAUUUUUAAGUGUUAUUUCUAAUGAAUAUUUUAGAAUUUUACAAUUUAUGAAACAAUAAUUUGAAAAUACAACAUUAAUAGUUAUUUCUUCUCACAGAGAAAGACAAAGGUUUCAGGGAAAUAAACAGAUGCAAGUUCAAACUCCAAACUCCCAGGAUGGAUGUUGUAUUGCAAUGCAUCCAAAUUCCACCCUUCAUCCUUCUGGGUGUUGAUAAAAUACAGUACCAGUCAUCUACUGGGCUAGAUUUAUGUUCCUAUGAAGUGUUCUCAGUGAGAAUGGAAUUAUGAUGGAGGGAUCUUUAAUAUGCUUUAUACGCACUUUUGAUAAGUUAUGGUGCACCUGAGCACUGUAUACAAUAAUUUCAUUAUUAUUAUUAUUAUUAUCAUUAUUAUUAUUAUGAUAAAUGCUAUAUAUCGCUACAUGUUGUUACUGAACUAUUUCUACAUGUUAAUUACAUAGCUUUGAUCGUUUGCUUGUUUCAGUUUGUGAAAUCUGCCAUGACCCUUGCCUUCGGUUUGUCUUUGGUGUUAGAAAAAUUUUUGUUGGUCUCUCGCUCAACUGCACCCCACGCAUAAUAAUCAAGAGGGUUGCAGUCUGGGGAGUCAGGUGGCCAGAUGUGAGGGAUGAUGUGGUUGCAGAAAUUGUCUGACAGCCAUGACUGGGUUCUCCUGCUUGUGUCGCAUGGUGCAGAGUCCUGUUGCUUGACAUAGGGUCUUCCAACAGCUACCCUCUUCACCCAGGGCAGCACUACCUCCUCCAGGCACUUGAUCUAGGCCUUCGUGUUGAGUCUGAGGACGUGUGGGAAGAUGAAUGGAAGCAUGACAUUGCCAUCACUAGUGAUCACUCCAAACACCAUGAUAUUGCUGGAUGCUUCAUUCUUAUCACUCUGAGUACAUGUUUUGGGGACACAGCAAGCCACCGGUUGUUCUGUGUGUUCACCAUCUGAUCCUGGUGGCACGUAAAAAGCACCGUCCAAAUGUGGCCAAUGCCAGUGGCACUUUGACUGGCUUCUGCUCCGGUGGCACGUAAAAAGCACCAUCCGACCAUGGUCGAUGCCAGUUCCUCUGGCUCCUUGUGCUAGUGGCACGCAAAAAGCACCCACUACACUCCUGGAGUGGUAGGCAUUAGGAACGGCAUCUAGCCGUAGAAACACUGCCAGAUCAGAUUGGGGCCUGGUGCAGCCUCCUGGCUUCCCAGACCCCAGUCGAACCGUCCAACCCAUGCCAGCAUGAAAAACGGACAUUAAACACUGAUGAUGAUGAUGUUGUUGAUGAUAUAUAUAUAUACAUAUAUAGAUUAUCAGAUUCCUAUUUCGGUCUUCCUGUCAUCAUUAUUUUAAUGUUCAGUUUUUCCAUUCUUGCAUGUGGUUAAGCGGUACUGACUUUCAGCUCAACGACAACUACCACAAUAGAUACUACCACCUCGACCACCACAAUGACAAUGACGACAACAACUACUACUGCCACCACCACCACCACCACAACCACUACCACCACCACCAUAACCACUACCACCACCACCACCACCACAACCGCUGCCACCGCCACCACCAUAACCACCAUCACCACCACCAUCACCACAACCACCACCACCACCACCAUAACCACCACCACCACUAUAACCACUACCACGACUACCACCACCACCACCACCACCACCACCACUACAACCACGACCACCACUACCACGACCACCACCACUAUGUUUACUUAUUGUAAUUGAAAAAUAUGGUCCCUGUUUUCUGCGAUUCCCCCUCAGCCCCCCCCCCCACCUGCCCUCUGCUAUGUCCCCAUCCCCCCCCAGCUGUUAUCAUUUCUGUUCUGUAUAGUAAUGACACGGGGAAAUAAUAAAUGUGUUUAAUUGGAACGAUAUCAAUGUUGAUAUAUUGAUAUCCGUGUAUUGGUUUUGGUUUCCGUAUUGAUCGGAAGAGGACAAACUUUUGCGAUUUUUCGCUCCGGCUUCUUUUGUCUUUGCUCAAAUAAUCCUCUCGGCUCUGGCAGGGGAGAACAUCUCAGGCAGAAAUAUUUCUUUGCACAUACAUACAUACAUACGUGUGUGUGUGUAGAGGUGUGUGUGUGUGUGUGGAGGUAUGUGUGUGUAGAGGUGUGAGUGUAGCUGUGUGCUUGUAGCUCUGUGUAGGUGUAUGUGGGUGUAAGUGUGUAUGUAGGAGUGUGUUCGUGUAGGUGUGUGUGUGUGUGGAGGUGUGUAUGUGUGGAGGUGUGUGUGUAGAGGUGUGUGUGUAGCUGCGUGCCUGUAGCUCUGUGUAGGUGUAUGUGGGUGUAAGUGUGUGUGUAGGUGUGUAUGUAAGUGUGUGAGUAGGUGUGUGUCGGUGUGUGUGUGUAGAUGUAUGUGUCUCUGUGAGUGUGUGUGUAUGUGUGGGUAGGUCUGUGUGUAGAUGCGUGUAAGUAUGUGUGUGUAGGUGUAUAUGUGUGAGUGUAGGUGUGUAUGUGAGUGUGUGUAGGCGUGCAUGUGUGUGUAGGCGUACAUGUGUGUGUAGGCGUGCAUGUGUGUAGGCAUGCGUGUGCGUGUAUGUGCUUGUAAAGAGAUGUGUACACGUAUAUAUUUGUGUGUGCGCAUAUGUAUAUAAUUUUGUGAAUAUGCAUACAUAUAUAUAUACGAGUGUGUAUAUCUAUACAUAUGUGUGUGUGUGUAUAUGCGUAUAUAUAUAUUUGUGUAUGUGUGCAUGUAUGUAUAUCUAUCUAUCUUUCUAUAUACAUACACAUACAUACAUACAUAAACACACACACGGAGUCCUAUAUACAGAGGUCUAUGUCUGUGCAUGGAUGGACACAAAGAGAACCUCUGUUAUGGAUCGUUAACUAUCACAUCAAACAUUCUGCUAAGCCAUCCCUCCAUAAACGAUCCAUCAUCCAUCCUCGUUUACUGGCCCCACCGGCCCCACCGGCCCCACCACCACCAACACCAUCACCACUAUGGUCAUUAUCAAUGAUAUUAUCAUCAUCCUCAUUAUCAUUGAGAAAACCUUUUCUUUACCGAAAUUAAAAACAUGGCUGUGUGGUAAGUAGCUUGCUUACCAACCACAUGGUUCCGGGUUCAGUCCCACUGCGUAGCACCUCGGGCAAGUGUCUUCUACAAUAGCCUCGGGUCGACCAAAGCCUUGUGAAUAUAUACGGAUAUAUAUAUAUAUAUAUAUAUAUAUAUAUAUAUGUCUAUAUAUAUGUAUGUAUGUGUAUAUAUAUAUAUACAUACAUAUUCACACACAUGACAAGCUUCUUUCAGUUUCCGCCUGCCAAAUCCACUCACAAGGCUUUAGUCAGCCAUAGUAGGCUAUAGUAGAAGACACUUGGCCAAGGUGCCAUGCAGUGGGACUGAACCUGGAACCAUGUGGUUGGGAAGCAAGCUUCUUACCACACAGCCACAGUUCACCUAUAUAUAUAUAUAUAUACAUACACACACACAUACACACACACACACAUACAUAUAUUUUUCAGUGGUAGUGUAUGAUUGGAGGGAGAUUUUGCUGCUAUUUUUAGCACGUUGAGGCUCCUUCAUCACCACCAUUGACAUCAACUGUGUUAAACACAGUGAGGAUGGUCAUGUCUUGUCUGUCUUUGACAUGAUGAUGAUGAUGAUGAUGAUGAUUAUUGUUGUUGCUUAGCCUCAGAUCAGAGAAGAGCUCUGAUGAAAGGAAGAGAUUCCAGCUGUGACCAUCUUAUCUGUUUAUCAGGCAUUGUGUACCUUGAUUACAUCAGCCAGAAGGUGAGGGUUGAAGCGAGUGUGUGGUGUGUGUGUGCAAACGUUUUUGAAACCUGAAAGAAAAUCAUGUCUACAGGGUGAAAUAAUUCAGCAAGAUCAAUCAUACUUUACACCACCACUACAACCACCACCACCAUCACUAGUACAACCAUCAGCACUACCACCACCACCACCAUCACUACAACCAUCAGCACUGCCACCACCACCACCAUCACUACAACCAUCAGCACUACCACCACCACCACCAUCACUACAACCAUCAGCACUGCCACCACCACCACCACCACCACCACCACCACUAGUACAACCAUCAGCACUGCCACCACCACCACCACCACCAUCACUACAACCACCAGCACUGCCACCACCACCACCACCACCACCACCACUAGUACAACCUUCAGCACUACCACCACCACCACUAGUACAACCAUCAGCACUGCCACCACCACCACUAGUACAACCAUCAGCACUGCCACCACCACUAGUACAACCAUCAGCACUGCCACCACCACCACUAGUACAACCAUCAGCACUGCUACCACCACCACCACCACUAGUACAACCAUCAGCACUACCACCACCACCACCAUCACUACAACCAUCAGCACUACCACCACCACCACCAUCACUACAACCAUCAGCACUGCCACCACCACCACCACCACCACUAGUACAACCAUCAGCACUGCCACCACCACCACCACCACCACUAGUACAACCAUCAGCACUGCCACCACCACCACCACCACCACUAGUACAACCAUCAGCACUACCACCACCACCACUAGUACAACCAUCAGCACUGCUACCACCACCACCACCACUAGUACAACCAUCAGCACUACCACCACCACCACCAUCACUACAACCACCAGCACUACCACCACCCACCACCACCACUAGUACAACCAUCAGCACUGCCACCACCACCACCACCACCACCACUAGUACAACCAUCAGCACUGCCACCACCACCACCACUAGUACAACCAUCAGCACUGCCACCACCACCACCACCACCACUAGUACAACCAUCAGCACUGCCACCACCACCACCACCACCACUAGUACAACCAUCAGCACCACCACCACCACCACUAGUACAACCAUCAGCACUGCCACCACCACCACCACCACCACUAGUACAACCAUCAGCACUGCCACCACCACCACCACCACCACUAGUACAACCAUCAGCACUGCUACCACCACCACCACCACUAGUACAACCAUCAGCACUACCACCACCACCACCAUCACUACAACCACCAGCACUACCACCACCACCACCAUCAUCACUAUAAACAACAACUUCUCUACCACCACCACAACCAUCAUCAUAACGACCACCAUCUCCACACACACCCCACCACCACUACCACCACCUCCUCUAAAACCACCACCAUUCCUACCAGACACUAAGAUGUAAUCUGAGUGUGAUUUAGCUGCUGUUUCUAUUUGGUGGUUAUAGAGGGAUUGUUGUUGUUUAACCACGAGUCAAACUUUGAUUAGCUUGACCUCUGACCUACGACCUAAGACCAAAGAGCGAUGACUGUCCUGUUUCAUUUGCCUAUUAAGGACCACAUGGUCCAGUGUGAACCCUUCCCCUUUUUCUUUUUAAGGUGGCAGAGGUAAUAGCAGAGCAAAUCUGGCUGCUAUUUCUAGCACACUGAGUAACCACACAAAGGCUUCCAUUUUGUGGGUUUUAGUUUGUUGUCUGCGGUAGUUGUAGUAGUAGUGGUGGUGGUAGUAAUAAUAGUAGUGGUAGUAGUAAUAGUAUUAGUAGUAGUAGCAGUAGUAGUAAUAUUAGUAGUAAUAGUAGUAGUAAUAGUAGUAGUAAUAGUAGUAGUAAUAGUAGUAGUAAUAGCAGUAGUAGGAAUAGUAGUAGUAAUAGUAGUAGUAAUAAUAGUAGUAAUAGCAGUAGUAGGAAUAGUAGUAGUAAUAGUAGUAGUAAUAAUAGUAGUAAUAGCAGUAGUAGUAAUAGUAGUAGUAAUAGUAGUAGUAAUAAUAGUAGUAAUAGCAGUAGUAGUAAUAGUAGUAGUAAUAGUAGUAGUAAUAAUAGUAGUAAUAGCAGUAGUAGGAAUAGUAGUAGUAAUAGUAGUAGUAAUAUGGCGUUGGUCAUAGUGGUAGCAAUUGUACUGCAGGUAGUGGUGGUGGUGUGGAUGGUUGUACUGGUAGCUGCGAUGCUGGUGGGGGGGGGUGGGUGGGUGGUGGAGGUGGUAGUACUAGUGGUGAUGGCAGCGAUAACAAUAGUAGUAGUAGUAUUAGGCUGAGCGAUUUGUUUGAUCUGAAGGAAGGCAUCAGAUCUUCCACCUGCCUUUUUCCCCCCUCCUCUUCCUCCUCCACCUCCACCUCCUCCUCCUCCGAAUAAACCCAGGUAUGGUUAUCAGUCGCGGUUCGGCGAUUGCGUAUUUUGCAGAACGGCGAUCGUCAUAGAGUUUUGCGCUCACGAGCGUGCAACGCAACUUUGUCGACACCUGUUGCUGCUGUUGCUGCAAGUUACUGCAACGCCUUUGAUGCAUCUUGCUGCGGCUGUCAAUCGGUUGGUGUUGCACCACUGCUACUAAAUGAACCAAUGCACCAGGGCUUUCGCUCUCUUCGGGGGGCAGUGAGUGGGGUGGGGUGUUCGUGGGGUGGGGGUGGUGUUCGUGGGGUGGGGUCGAGUGUUACCCAGCGGACUGGAGCAUGUUGGGGGAGGGGGUAUUCUAGGAUAGCCAUGUGUGAAAAUGUCAGACAUAGGUGCAGUAGUGGCUGUGUGGUAAGUAGCUUGCUGACCAACCACAUGGUUCCAGGUUCAGUCCCGCUGUGUGGCAUCUUGGGCAAGUGUCUUCUGCUAUAGCCCCGGGCCAACCAAUGCCUUGUGAGUGGAUUUGGUAGACGGAAACUGAAAGAAGCCCGUUGUAUAUAUGUAUAUAUAUAAGCAUAGGCAUGGCUGUGUGAUAAGUAGUUGGCUUAACCAACCAGAUGGUUCUGGGUUCAGUCCCACUGCGUGGCACCUUGGGCAAGUGUCUUCUACUAUAACCUCGGGCUGACUAAAGCCUUGUGAGUGGAUUUGGUAGAUGGAAACUGAAAGAAGCCCAUCAUAUUUAUAUAUAUGUGUGUGUGUGCGUAAGUUUAUAUGUCUGUGUUUGUCUCUCCACCAUCACUUGACAACCAAUGCUGGUGUAUUUACGUUCCUGUAGCUUAGCAGAUCAGCAAAAGUGACCGAUAGAAUAAGUACUAGGCUUACAAAAGAGUAAGUCCCAGGGUUGAUUUGUUCAACUAAAGGUGGUGCUCCAGAUUUACUAGAAACAGCAGCCAAAUCUUCCUCAAAACCCACACACCAGUCUGUUGAUAUACACUGCCAUAUUUUGUUUACAGUUUAUCUGUUUUUCCAUGCUAGUAUGAGUUAGAUCAGGGCAUCUCAGCCAUUUCUUUUUAAUCUAUGGACCCCUUUGAUUACUAUUUUAUUCAGGUUGACCCCCAUAGCCAUUCGACAUUUAAAAACUAGUUUUAUAGAAACUUCUUUUAAAAUUCCAUUUCUUUUUUCUUUUUUUCAUAUAUUCCCUUGUGCUGUUUGAAUUAUGUAAAAUGUUAGAGAAAGGAACCCAGCUGUUUCUUGCAAUGCAGACCAAUACAUAUAUAUAUAUAAUAAAAAUAUUAGGGAAUAAAUCCAAAUUUACAGGGAAAAAAUCAGAUUUAGGAUUAAAUCCAAUUUUAUAGUAAAAUAUUAUAUAAUAUUAUUAGAGACAAACCACUAUUUUGCAAAACAAACAAGGAAAGACUUAAUCAAUACAUGACUUUUUAUUAAAAUUUUAUGUAUUGAUUAAGUCUUUCCUUGUUUGUUUUGCAAAAUAGUGGUUUUGUCUCUAAUAAUAUUAUAUAUAUAUAUAUAUAUAUAUAUAUAUAUGUAUGUAUAUGUUUCCGACAAAGAGCUCCGCUCGAAACAUCAAACCCUCCUUCUUCCCUUCUUUCCUGAGCGUCCAAUAAUACUUUAUUUGUUCCACGUCCUUGCGUUGUUGUUUUUUUGAUUUUGUUUUCUUGUUUGGAUUAACUUUAUAUAUAUAUAUAUAUAUAUAUAUUGUUAUACAUUAUAUAUAUAUA
rnacentral:lncRNA from 1 species